rnacentral:SRP_RNA from 1 species
GCUGGGUGUAGUGGCAUUCACCUGUAGUCCCAGCUACUCAGGAGGCUGAGGCAGGAGAAUCGCUUGAGCUCAGGAGUUUGAGGCUGCAGUGAGCUAUGACUGCACUACUGCACUCCAGCCUGGGUAACAGAGCAGGACCUUGUCUCUU